GAUGAACGCUGGCGGCGUGCCUAAUACAUGCAAGUCGAGCGAACGGACGAGAAGCUUGCUUCUCUGAUGUUAGCGGCGGACGGGUGAGUAACACAUGGAUAACCUACCUAUAAGACUGGGAUAACUUCGGGAAACCGGAGCUAAUACCGGAUAAUAUUUUGAACCGCAUGGUUCAAAGGUGAAAGACGGUCUUGCUGUCACUUAUAGAUGGAUCCGCGCUGCAUUAGCUAGUUGGUAAGGUAACGGCUUACCAAGGCAACGGUGCAUAGCCGACCUGAGAGGGUGAUCGGCCACACUGGAACUGAGACACGGUCCAGACUCCUACGGGAGGCAGCAGUAGGGAAUCUUCCGCAAUGGGCGAAAGCCUGACGGAGCAACGCCGCGUGAGUGAUGAAGGUCUUCGGAUCGUAAAACUCUGUUAUUAGGGAAGAACAUAUGUGUAAGUAACUGUGCACAUCUUGACGGUACCUAAUCAGAAAGCCACGGCUAACUACGUG
rnacentral:rRNA from 1 species